rnacentral:rRNA from 1 species
UGCAAGUCGAGCGAUGAAACACCUUCGGGUGUGAAUUAGCGGCGAACGGGUGAGGAACACGUGAAGAAUCUGCCUUCAACUCUGGGAUAACUCCGGGAAACCGGGGCUAAUACCGGAUAUGAGCCUCGAUCGCAUGAUUGGGGCUGGAAAGUUUUUCGGUUGAAGAUGACUUCGCGGCCUAUCAGCUUGUUGGUGAGGUAAUGGCUCACCAAGGCGACGACGGGUAGCCGGCCUGAGAGGGCGACCGGCCACACUGGGACUGAGACACGGCCCAGACUCCUACGGGAGGCAGCAGUGGGGAAUAUUGGGCAAUGGAGGAAACUCUGACCCAGCGACGCCGCGUGAGGGAUGAAGGCCUUCGGGUUGUAAACCUCUUUCAGUAGGGAAGAAGCGAAAGUGACGGUACCUACAGAAGAAGCACCGGCUAACUAUGUGCCAGCAGCCGCGGUAAUACAUAGGGUGCAAGCGUUGUCCGGAAUUAUUGGGCGUAAAGAGCUCGUAGGUGGUUCGAUACGUCGGAUGUGAAAAUCAGGGGCUCAACCCCUGACCUGCAUCCGAUACGGUCGAGCUAGAGUUUGGUAGGGGAGACUGGAAUUCCUGGUGUAGCGGUGGAAUGCGCAGAUAUCAGGAGGAACACCGAUGGCGAAGGCAGGUCUCUGGGCCAAUACUGACACUGAGGAGCGAAAGCGUGGGGAGCGAACAGGAUUAGAUACCCUGGUAGUCCACGCCGUAAACGGUGGGCGCUAGUUGUGCGAACCUUCCACGGUUUGUGCGACGCAGCUAACGCAUUAAGCGCCCCGCC